rnacentral:rRNA from 1 species
UCAUGCUCAGGAUGAACGCUGGCGGCGUGCCUAAUACAUGCAAGUCGAGCGAACGGACGAGAAGCUUGCUUCUCUGAUGUUAGCGGCGGACGGGUGAGUAACACGUGGAUAACCUACCUAUAAGACUGGGAUAACUUCGGGAAACCGGAGCUAAUACCGGAUAAUAUUUUGAACCGCAUGGUUCAAAAGUGAAAGACGGUCUUGCUGUCACUUAUAGAUGGAUCCGCGCUGCAUUAGCUAGUUGGUAAGGUAACGGCUUACCAAGGCAACGAUGCAUAGCCGACCUGAGAGGGUGAUCGGCCACACUGGAACUGAGACACGGUCCAGACUCCUACGGGAGGCAGCAGUAGGGAAUCUUCCGCAAUGGGCGAAAGCCUGACGGAGCAACGCCGCGUGAGUGAUGAAGGUCUUCGGAUCGUAAAACUCUGUUAUUAGGGAAGAACAUAUGUGUAAGUAACUGUGCACAUCUGACGGUACCUAAUCAGAAAGCCACGG